rnacentral:rRNA from 1 species
AUUGAACGCUGGCGGCAUGCCUUACACAUGCAAGUCGAACGGUAACGCGGGGCAACCUGGCGACGAGUGGCGAACGGGUGAGUAAUAUAUCGGAACGUGCCCAGUAGUGGGGGAUAGCCCGGCGAAAGCCGGAUUAAUACCGCAUACGACCUACGGGUGAAAGCGGGGGAUCGCAAGACCUCGCGCUAUUGGAGCGGCCGAUAUCAGAUUAGGUAGUUGGUGGGGUAAAGGCCUACCAAGCCUACGAUCUGUAGCUGGUCUGAGAGGACGACCAGCCACACUGGGACUGAGACACGGCCCAGACUCCUACGGAGGCAGCAGUGGGGAAUUUUGGACAAUGGGCGCAAGCCUGAUCCAGCCAUGCCGCGUGCGGGAAGAAGGGCCUUCGGUUGGUAAGACUCUGUGUAGGGGGACGGAAGUAAGU